AGGAGAAACAAAUAUGGCGCGGUGGAGUUCGAAAUCGAGAGUAGGCCUAUUGUUGAUGAGGCAAGCAGUCAGAGCAGUCCAGAACUAGAGGGUAAAGAGCUCCCUGAGGUCCAGUAGUACAAGGCUUGGAAGAGGUGUGAGAUCAGGAGGAUUGACUCAAGAACAUGAAAGGAGAAUUCAGUAACUCACAGAAGAGAGCAUACAUGAUGGUGUUGCCAAGAAAAUGAUGGUGUUGCCAAGGAAAGUGCUGAAUACAUUGUGACAAGUGUGAUGGAAAUCCUGGCCUUGCACUGGAUAUAAAGAUGCUUUUGCUAGAGAAUUUACCAAGCAAUGACUCAGCAUCAGUGGAGAUGGGACUGGCCCAUCUCCCACUCACUGUAAUGUCCCCUACAUUUUGACUGCCGUUGAAUUUGCUGGAUUACUUCACUUUGAAGAAAAUUACAGAAUAACUAUUACCACGAGUAUCAGUUUACUGACCAAACAUUCAUAAGACCUGUAAUAUGCAAGUCACUGAGUAGAAGGAUUCUUUUCAUUCUACUGUAAUUUGUGCAACCAUUCAGUGAACAUAAAAAAUAAAGGCAUAGAAAAACAA